rnacentral:lncRNA from 1 species
GAAGGGUGUGUCACUUCAAUAUAGCGUGAUAUAGAUUGGCCUCUGGAAUAUGCAUGAAUUUUUUAUUGACGUUUUCAAUCAGCCUUAAUUUUUGUGUCUGUUCGAAGUAGUACGUUCUCAAUUCCGACUGAAAGUGUCUUUCUAAUACAACACAGGGUACAUAUAACGUGUUCUCGUUCACAUAUGAACAUGAUAUUUGUCACUGGACGUUAAACCCUAA